rnacentral:rRNA from 1 species
GAUCCUACGGGGGGCAGCAGUGAGGAAUAUUGGUCAAUGGGCGGGAGCCUGAACCAGCCAAGUCGCGUGAGGGAAGACGGUCCUAUGGAUUGUAAACCUCUUUCUUCGGGGCGCACUGCCGGGCACGUGUGCCCGGAGGGAGAGUACCCGCAGAAUAAGCAUCGGCUAACUCCGUGCCAGCAGCCGCGGUACUACGGCGGAUGCUCGCGUUCUCCGGAUUUCUUGGUUUU